CGGUGGAUGCCUUGGCAGUUAGAGGCGAUGAAGGACGUGUAAGUCUGCGAAAAGCUGUGGUGAGCCGACAAAAUGCAUUUGAGCCACAGAUGUCCGAAUGGGGAAACCCACCUGUUUACAGGUAUCGUUACUGAAUACAUAGGUAACGAGGCGAACGAGGGGAACUGAAACAUCUAAGUACCCUUAGGAAAAGAAAUCAACGAGAUUCCCCUAGUAGCGGCGAGCGAACGGGGACAGCCCUUAAGCUGUUUAGUGUAGUGGAAUCCUUUGGGAAGAGGAGCGAUACAGGUGAUAGCCCCGUACACAAAGCGUGCUUUACAGUGAAAUCGAGUAGGUCGGGACACGUGUUAUCUUGACUGAAUAUGGGGGGACCAUCCUCCAAGGCUAAAUACUCCUAACUGACCGAUAGUGAACCAGUACCGUGAGGGAAAGGCGAAAAGAACCCCUGUGAGGGGAGUGAAAUAGAACCUGAAACCGUAUACGUACAAGCAGUGGGAGCCACUUCGGGGUGACUGCGUACCUUUUGUAUAAUGGGUCAGCGACUUAUAUUUAGUAGCAAGGUUAAGGAAUACGGAGCCGUAGCGAAAGCGAGUGUUAACUGCGCGUUGAGUUGCUAGGUAUAGACCCGAAACCCGGUGAUCUAGCCAUGGGCAGGUUGAAGGUUGAGUAACAUCAACUGGAGGACCGAACCCACUACGUUGAAAAGUCAGGGGAUGACUUGUGGCUGGGGGUGAAAGGCCAAUCAAACCGGGAGAUAGCUGGUUCUCCCCGAAAUCUAUUUAGGUAGAGCCUCGGAUGAAUUCCAUUGGGGGUAGAGCACUGUUAAGGCUAGGGGGUCAUCCCGACUUACCAACCCUUUGCAAACUCCGAAUACCAAUGAGAACUAUCCGGGAGACACACGGCGGGGGCUAACGUCCGUCGUGGAGAGGGAAACAACCCAGACCGCCAGCUAAGGUCCCAAAAUAUUGCUAAGUGGGAAACGAUGUGGGAAGGCAUAGACAGCUAGGAGGUUGGCUUAGAAGCAGCCACCCUUUAAAGAAAGCGUAAUAGCUCACUAGUCGAGUCGGCCUGCGCGGAAGAUGUAACGGGGCUAAGCAAUAUACCGAAGCUGCGGCAGCAGUUUACUGCUGGGUAGGGGAGCGUUGUGUAAGUGGAUGAAGGUGAGUUGUAAAGCUUGCUGGACAUAUCACAAGUGCGAAUGCUGACAUGAGUAACGAUAAUGGGAGUGAAAAACUCCCACGCCGGAAGACCAAGGUUUCCUGUCCCAUGCUAAUCAGGGCAGGGUAAGUCGGCCCCUAAGGCGAGGCAGAAAUGCGUAGUCGAUGGGAAACGGUUAAUAUUCCGUACUUAUAUAAUCAGUGAUGGAGGGACGGAGAAGGCUAGGCAAGCUUGGCGUUGGUUGUCCAAGUGAAAGUGUGUAGGCCGAGUUAGGUAAAUCCGGUAAGCGAGACACGAGACGAGCUCCCAAGGGAGUGAAGUUGUUGAUGCCCUGCUUCCAGGAAAAGCUUCUAAACUUAUGAUUAUAUGAACCGUACCCCAAACCGACACAGGUGGUCAGGUAGAGAAUACUAAGGCGCUUGAGAGAACUCGGGUGAAGGAACUCGGCAAAAUUGUACCGUAACUUCGGGAGAAGGUACGCCUCUGUUUGUGAACACUUCGUGGUAAGCAAAUGGAGGCCGCAGUGACCAGGUGGCUGGGACUGUUUAUUAAAAACACAGCACUCUGCAAACUCGUAAGAGGACGUAUAGGGUGUGACACCUGCCCGGUGCCGGAAGGUUAAUUGAUGGGGUUAGUCUUCGGACGAAGCUCUUGAUCGAAGCCCCGGUAAACGGCGGCCGUAACUAUAACGGUCCUAAGGUAGCGAAAUUCCUUGUCGGGUAAGUUCCGACCUGCACGAAUGGUGUAACCAUGGCCACGCUGUCUCCACCCGAGACUCAGUGAAAUUGAAAUCGCAGUGAAGAUGCUGUGUACCCGCACCUAGACGGAAAGACCCCGUGAACCUUUACUACAGCUUGGCACUGAACAUUGAACCUACAUGUGUAGGAUAGGUGGGAGGCUUCGAAGCACAGUCGCUAGAUUGUGUGGAGCCGUCCUUGAAAUACCACCCUUGUAUGUUUGAUGUUCUAACAUUGGUCCCUUAUCGGGAUUGUGGACAGUGUCUGGUGGGUAGUUUGACUGGGGCGGUCUCCUCCCAAAUAGUAACGGAGGAGCACGAAGGUUAGCUAAUCACGGUCGGACAUCGUGAGGUUAGUGCAAUGGCAUAAGCUAGCUUAACUGCGAGACAGACACGUCGAGCAGGUACGAAAGUAGGUCAUAGUGAUCCGGUGGUUCUGUAUGGAAGGGCCAUCGCUCAACGGAUAAAAGGUACUCCGGGGAUAACAGGCUGAUACCGCCCAAGAGUUCAUAUCGACGGCGGUGUUUGGCACCUCGAUGUCGGCUCAUCACAUCCUGGGGCUGAAGUCGGUCCCAAGGGUAUGGCUGUUCGCCAUUUAAAGUGGUACGCGAGCUGGGUUUAGAACGUCGUGAGACAGUUCGGUCCCUAUCUGGUGUGGGCGUUGGAUGAUUGAUGGGAGCUGCUCCUAGUACGAGAGGACCGGAGUGGACGAACCGCUGGUGUUCGGGUUGUCAUGCCAAUGGCAUUGCCCGGUAGCUAUGUUCGGAACGGAUAACCGCUGAAAGCAUCUAAGCGGGAAGCCGGCCCAAAGAUGAGUCAUCCCUGACCUUUAAGGUCUGGAAGGGUUGUUAUAGACGAUGACGUUGAUAGGCAGGGUGUGGAAGCGUUGUAAGGCGUUAAGCUAACCUGUACUAAUUGCCCGAGAGGCUUAA
rnacentral:rRNA from 1 species